UUGUUCGACCCAAUCACACCAAUACCCGGCCCAUGACCAUUUAUUUCCUCUUCACCAGCAAAUAAAACAAGAAUAACCUUCAACAUCGACCUAAAAAUAGCCAAAAACUGAUGCCAACUCCAAUAACUCAAACUCGAUGCCAGCAAUAACCCGGUGGAAAAAUCAACCCAGCGAUCAAUCGAUAUCAGCAAAGAUGUAAUCCAAAAUCACCAUCUCUGACCCUACCAUCUUCAACCCGACCUCAAUUCGAUGCUCGCGUGCAUCACGUGCAUCCUAUGCGAACCUAUACGAGAAAAGCCUUGGAAGCUUCUAGAAAUAGGUGAGCUGUCUCCCCAACGUUUAAAUCCCUAGAUUUUUGAAUUGAUUUGUAUAAUUUCAUACAUAUUUGGAUGAUUUUCAUUGGUUUAGGGGAGAAUUCGAUUUGCCCAAAUGGUAUUAGUCCACCUAUUCUCAAUUCCUCUCAAUAAAUCCAAAAGAAUCGGUAUAAUUUGGAGAGGAAAACCCAAGCUGUAGGGAGAUUUGAAUUUCAAAUUCCAAAAUAUGCUAUUUUGAAAAUCCCCAAAAUACCCCCAAUUCUGUCUUCUUUAUAAGAACCCGACUGGGUACUGAAAUGGAGGUUGAAAAAUUUUGGGUCUCGAAAAACUGAGAGUUGGAGGGGAGAGAAAAAAAUAUUGGUUUUGAAAUAUUGGUUCGGAAAAAGAAUAGAGAGGGGACUCUCAAGAAGAAUACUCUCUUCACACCAAAAGAUACAUAUUCUUAAAGAAUUUUGCAUCUAAAUUUAUCGAAGCCGCUGUGAGAUUUCUUUUUCGGUGGUUGGGAUCCUAUCGUUGGCUCGCCGGCCCAUUUUGCUGCCCCAAAAGAGUCCUACACGAGAUCUUUCCUCUUUGUGCAUUAUGGGCCAUUGAGGCCCGUCUAGCCCUGAGUCGAUUUUUUCAAAGUUGUAAGUCCAAAAGUGAUCCCGUGGCGUAUGGAUACAAGGAAUUAAAGAAUAAGAACGGGUUAAAGUCCAUCUUUGAAGCGGCAAAGGAGACUUGAAAGUCUCAUUUUACUUAUUCAUUGUCGCCUUUAUUUAUUUAUGAUAUAUUUAUUUAUUUAUUUAUUUAUUUUCUUAUUCAUUCAUUUGGGCCUCGAAGUCAAAAUUGUAUUUAACACAGGUGGAACGAGACUCGAGCUAAGGGUUCGCAAAUUAGACUAAGACAGGUUAUGGGCCAAGGGCUCAAAAUCUAGUUUAGGACAGGUUUUGUUGAUUUGGGUCCAAUGUUCUAAAUCUUUUACUUUCUCCUCCCUUCCCCUUUGUAUGUGUUUAUUUGCUUAUUAGUUUUGUUUAGACUUAGUUAAAA